AUUCAAAGAAGCUCCUCUCACAUUGUAAAGAUCAGUGAUUUCCAGAGCAUGAGGUGGAGACAUGGAUCAACUGGGAUACAGAGUGUUUGUAAGGCAGUGAAACUGUUCUGCACGACGCCACAUGGCGGUCCACAUCGCCCAAACCCUGAAGUGCAGCAACACAGUGACUCAUGGCAAGUCCAGAUUUGGGGCUGUUGUGACGCCGUGUGUCCAUCCAUCCUGACUGAUAUGCCACCCUGAAACAGAGUGGCUGAGAAAGCUGUGGUCCAGAUACACAGUGGAAUACUACUCAGCUAUGAAGAAUAAUGAGUUUGCUUUCUUCACCUCACCUUGGAUAGAGCUUGAAGGAGUCCUGUUAAGUGAGAAGUGAUGCUGACCUGUUCAAGUGGACAGAUUAAAAGCCUCCCAGGAAUAUCAGAUAUGUCAGACUGGUUCCUGUUUCCCAAACAGCAGAGUAAGAAGCAAGCAGACACUUAACUCCAUUCAUUUUGUAAGUAUUUAUUUUAUCCAAUAGAACAAAUAAUCAUAUACACAUAAAUUUGAGAAAUCACAGAUAUGGGGCCAAGUAGCAGUGCACUCAGUAGAGUGCACAAGGACCCUGGGUCCAAGCCCCCUGGGCUGCACCUGCAGGGGAGCGGGGAGCUUCACAAGCAGCAAAGAAGUAUUGCACUGUCUUUCUCUCUCCCUUUCUUCUCCUCCCCUCUUAACUUCUCUAUCCAAAAUAAAUAAAUGAAAGUAUCGUUAAAAAUUGCAGACCCGGGGAGUCGGGUGGUGGCGCAGCGGGUUAAGCGCACGUGGCGCAAAGCACAAAGAAC